rnacentral:rRNA from 1 species
UACCAGCACCCCGAAGUGGUCGGGACGAUUAUUGGGCCUAAAGCAUCCGUAGCCGGCCUUACAAGUCCUCCGUUAAAUCCAGCUGCUUAACAGAUGGGCUGCGGAGGAUACUAUAAGACUAGGAGGCAGGAGAGGCAAGCGGUACUCAGUGGGUAGGGGUAAAAUCCGUUGAUCCAUUGAAGACCACCAGUGGCGAAGGCGGCUUGCCAGAAUGCGCUCGACGGUGAGGGAUGAAAGCUGGGGGAGCAAACCGG